ensembl:lncRNA
GAGGUGCGCAGCUGCACGGCCGGGUUCAGAAGUACCACUUACGAAAUCCCACAAAGUUUUCACCCCGUAUUCGUGCUGUGAAGCGGUGCUUAAACCUGUGAGAGCGCAGCCCGCUGGCAUCUCUGUCAGCCUUUAGUGGAGAAAAACACCUUGGGCGCUCGGUGGGAGUUGUGCCGGUACGUGCUGUGAGGAGGGCGCCCGGGGGCUGACCGGAGGGCAUGGCGGGAAGCUGCUUCAUUGCUGGUACCUGAGUGCUCUGCGCUGCCGGGCCCAGGAGUUUCGUUUUCUGAAAUUAGUGGAAAAGCAGUCCUCAGCUGUACAAUUUUGCAGCCGUGUUAUGCACCUGGGAAAACUACCCUUCAUAUUAGAAUAUCUGUCACAUGCAGCUUGAAAGACACUGCAAGAGUAAAAGGGAUGGGAUCCUUAUUCCUCCUCUGCUGCCCUCUUAGUAAUCGCAAGGGAUCAACGUGUUCCAUGUGAUCAAAGAAAGGUGAAACUUCUGUGACAACAAGAUGAAAACAGGUUUGCACUGCAUCCUGUGGGAUAUUAGAAUGAGCUGCCAAGAAGCUAGAAGACAGGUCUUUCUAGACAAAAUAUCUAGACCAUGGAGCAUAUGGCAGCCUCCAAGGAAGACAACAUGUCUCAGUCUGCUGGAGAACUCUUCCCUUGCAGGCGACUUCUUUGGGAGAUGAAGGGAGAUGCCAGGGAUUUGGAUAACGUUCACUCAUCUCAGUCUUGGGGAAAAAUCUAGAUGGGCUGAUACGUGUUUGAGGACAUUGUGGAUGACCUCCAGGGGGACCGAACUCAUCAGAAAUCAGAUAUUAAAGGGCCGCUUCACCACUCCUGUCCCAUGUGAGAAAUGCAGGCAGAAAAUAAAGAUUUUGAUACACACUGCAGCACUGGGUAAGUCCUCUGCUGUAGCUCUUCCCCUCCUCUAUGUUAGAGCAUCCAUGCAGAAAUGUUUGAAAGAAUCAGUGUGGCCAUUGCUUGUCAGAGUCUCAAGUCUCAGAGUCUUGAGCUGUUAGCUAAGAACAUGCCAGAGCUGGAAACAUCUUCUUAAGACAGAAAUUUAACUAAGUUUAACUCAGUUGAUUUUCACCUAGAACAAAAAUGACUAUACCAGAGAUUCAAAAAGACAACCCUAACAGCCUUCAAAGUGAAACCAUUUGCUCUAACUGGAUAGACAAAAACUAACAAACAAAAACAAGCAAACAAAAAAAACAAAACAAAACCCUGCCAAUAUACUGCAUCUUGGUUUCAGAUUAAAUUCUUUGCAUUUGGUAAAAUAAAUCUAGCCUUUUUAAGUUAGAAAAUAUAUAUGUAUAUAAAUAUUUACAAAGGCUGCUCAGAAAGUAAUGCCUUCUAUUUUAUUAUGUUGGCCCAUGAAGUCAGAGGUGGAUGUUGGUGGGAAGGCAGUAGAGAUUGAACCUUCCUGCCAAUAUUCUGUUACUUCUUAUUGCCAUGCAACAGAUGACAGCAGAGGGGCAGUCUGACAAAAGGAUAUCUAACAUGGAAGUGUGUAUACAGUAAAGGUGUGUCACUGAAUUCCUCCAUGCGGAAGAACUGGCACCCACUGACAUUCAUCAAUGCUUGAGGAAUAUUUAUAGGGAACAAACAGUGGAUGUGAGCACACUGAUGCAGUGUGUGAUGCGUUUCAGCAGUGGUGACAUUGAUGGGAAAGGUAAGCCACAUUCCAGAUGACCAUGCACAACUGUCAGAACACCAAAUGAAGAGCAUCUCAAUCAGCUCACUUGCACUAAUUGGCAGAUUAUGAUCAAGGAACUGUAUAUAGAGCUCAAUAUCAGGUUCAAUGCAUUUGAAACAAUGGUGGUAAUGUUGGAAUAUUGCUAAGUUUGAGCUAGGAGGGUCCCACGAAUUCUCACACAAGGAACAGAAAGAACACUGUGUCCAAGUUUGUUAAGAUCUAUUGGACUAAUACGACGCUGAAGGUGACAGUCUCUUGCAUCACAUCAUUACUGGUGACAAGAUCCGAACUCAAAACAGCAGUCUCUGGAGUGGUGAUAUGUGAAUUCCCCAUGAAAGAAGAUGUUCAAGACAGCUCUCAGCAGAUAACUGAUUGGGAUAGGGGUGAUUUUCUGAAUUUACUAGAACCCAAACAAACCUUCAACUCUGACUGCUACGUUGCAAUCCUGACUAAGCUAAAGUCUUGAACUUUCAGAAUUAGGCCAGAGAAGAAGAGAAGACAACUUCUCUCUUGCAAUGUGAUAACACCAGGUGCUAUAUCACUUUGUAGACCAUGGAGUAUAUUGCCAAUCUUGGCUGUCCUAUCCCACACACCACGUAGCCUAGAUUUGACACCUUCUGGCUUCCAUCUGUUUGGGCCAGUCAAAGAUGGACUGUGUGGGCAACAUUUUCCCAGCAAUACACCAUCAUAGCAGCUGUGAAAAAGUGGGUUACUUCUGCUGGUGCAGAUUUUUAUAAGUGCGGCAUGCAAGUUCUUGUUCAUCACAGAUAAAAAUGCAUAGGUAAUGGUAGCGACUGUGUUGAAAAAUAGUGUUUUGUAGCUGAGAAUUUGUUCUAUCAAGUAGUGUUAUUGUGUUAUUUGAUGUCAUUUCCAUGAAAACAAUGGAGGCAUUACUUUUGGAGUGACCUUUGUGUGUAUGUGUAUGUAUAUAUGCGCAAAAUUAUAUGUAAAUUGAACAGUUUUGCCUUUGUGAAGCUAGGUGAAAAACACUCUAGAAGCAUAAGCCACAGGAACAGAAGCUGAAAUAAGAAUCCAUUGAAAUUCAUACCUCGAGUUUAUACGUUUUUAGAAGUGUAUUUUUCCCUUUCAGACUGGUGAGCUGAGGUCUUUAAUUGACAAAGAUGACCCAGUGCCUCACCCUUUACCCCCUAAACUUAAUUUUAAGUAAAACUCAUAUGCUUCUCUCUAGUGGUUCCUUUUUAAUUGCCUUGAAUGUCUGAACUCUGUUAAAAUGUUUGGAGUUUCCAAGUCCAGUUGUACACAGAAAAAAUUGCUAGUUUGCAAGCUGUAACUGAAGUCAGAGAUUAGGUAUUGAUCUCAAAAGAAAAUUACUAAGGAUUGUGGGAGAUCUUGCUCUGACAAGAAAGGAUGACUUUUGAGGCCUCCAAAGAUGCAAAAUUCUUUCAAUGAUGUGCAUUAGUGCUAAUCAGUAUGUGUUGCCAUGGUUCAGUAGAAGUCAGUGCUGAACUUCACAAAACUCUUUCAACCUUUUCUCUCUAACUGUAUAAAUGUGAAAGUAACAAUAAAUCUUGUUGACAAUUACUUCCACAUCUAUUGGCAGUCAGUCAGGUGCAAUGUGAACAGCAUUGUGCACAAUAUGGGUAGCACAGCCAACACCUAUUAACUAUCUCCCUAGUUUCUCCUGUGACUUACAGAACAUGUUAUUUUUCCCCAGUGAGUAGCCCUUUCAAAUGUUGAAUUAGUAAUAUUAGCACCAAAUACUACUAAUUUGUCAGCCAGGCUGUGUUUUUCCAAAGUGUUCACAAUAGGGGCUGAUAACUGCUUUGCAGUUCAGCAGAGCAAAGAUGAAAAUUCAGAAACUUUCUAAAUCAUUUGUAUAAGACUCAAAGUAGGUUUUUGUUUGUUUGUUUGUUUGUUUUUGUUUUGUAACCACUAGAAUAUUCAAUAUGUAUGUUUAAAAAAGAAAAAAAGUGGCAUUUCAGCUUCACUCAGCAAGAUACUUAACUGCAUGGUAAUAUGGAAGUAUAUAUUUAGGUUCUUUGAAGAACCAGAGCUAGAAACAUUUUUAAUAGCAUGAAAUCUUUGUUCAAAGAACACAUUGUCAGGACCACCUUUGUAUUUUCAGAUUUUAGUGGCUAGCUUAACUAAUAUUUAUGAAGAAGUAAAUCUCUCUGCUAUAAAUAACAAUUUUCUAUUGUAUAUAAUGCAUUCAUUGCUUGAACAGUUUUCAUUGACAUCAGUAUGAAACCUGUGCAAAUAAUUUUGUAGCAUAUGAAACUGAAAAUCACAAAUGGUUGAGGGUUG